rnacentral:rRNA from 1 species
AACGAACGCUGGCGGCAUGCCUAACACAUGCAAGUCGAACGAGACCUUCGGGUCUAGUGGCGCACGGGUGCGUAACGCGUGGGAACCUGCCCUUAGGUUCGGAAUAACUCCCCGAAAGGGGUGCUAAUACCGGAUAAUGUCUUCGGACCAAAGAUUUAUCGCCUUUGGAUGGGCCCGCGUUGGAUUAGCUAGUUGGUAGGGUAAAAGCCUACCAAGGCGACGAUCCAUAGCUGGUCUGAGAGGAUGAUCAGCCACACUGGGACUGAGACACGGCCCAGACGACUACAGGAGGCGGCAGUGGGGAAUUUUGCGGAAAAGGCGAGAGAGUGACGUAGCAAUGCCGAGUGGAGGUAGAAGGACCGAGGGUAGUGAACUGCUGUUCGCUGAGAAGAAGCAGUGGGGGUAUAUGGGGGAUAAGCAGGGGCUAGGUAUGUG